CAUUUAUCCCGUUUAGUUAAUAAUUUCUAGCCUUUGCGCACACAUGUCCUCCCGGGUUAGCAGUAGUAGUCGCGAGCAGCGUUUUCACAUUAAAUAUAUAUUAUAUAUAUAAUAUAUAAUAUUAUAUACAGUUUACAUUGGACUCUUUUAUAGCAUUAUAACGCUACGACUCGGCCAUUUUUUUCUCUUCGUCGUCGUCGUCGUCUACGGGGAUAGUUCGCAUUAAUAUCUUUCUUUUUCUUUUUUUUUAUUAAUCCCUACACCCGCCUAGCUAUUACACGUUAGACGCGAGUAUUUUGACCUCGUAUUAUCGCCGAGUCCUUUCUGUUAAGCUUUUUCUCGGUCUUCGUUUCUCGGACUAUACCUAUA